AACGCACAUUGCACUCUCUGGUAUUCCGGAGAGUAUGCUUGUUUGAGUAUCUGUAAACAUCUCAAAUCUCUUUGCGCUUGCGCAUAAGAGACUUGGAUUUGAGCGAUCCCGACUCCUUCGACAGAAAGAGGAGGGUCGCUUGAAAUGCAGGUGCAGCUGGACAUUCUUCUGAGCUAAAAGCAUAUCUAUUUAGUCCCGUCAAACGGAUUAUUACUUUUGCUUCAGCUAAUACAAAGGUCGAAUGAACUACCAACGCUGAUUGCAGGAAAACUCGUUUUUUUACUAAAACUUGUAAACUCGAUCUCAAAUCAAGUAAGACUACCCGCUGAACUUAA
rnacentral:misc_RNA from 3 species